GGCCUAACACAUGCAAGUCGAACGGUAACAGGAAGAAGCUUGAUGCUUUGCUGACGAGUGGCGGACGGGUGAGUAAUGUCUGGGAAACUGCCUGAUGGAGGGGGAUAACUACUGGAAACGGUAGCUAAUACCGCAUAACGUCGCAAGACCAAAGAGGGGGACCUUCGGGCCUCUUGCCAUCGGAUGUGCCCAGAUGGGAUUAGCUAGUAGGUGGGGUAACGGCUCACCUAGCCGACGAUCCCUAGCUGGUCUGAGAGGAUGACCAGCCACUCGGCUGCUGAGACACGGUCCAGACUCCUACGGGAGGCAGCAGUGGGGAAUAUUGCACAAUGGGCGCAAGCCUGACGCCUCCUUACCGCGUGUAUGAAGAAGGCCUUCGGGUUGUAGCCGCC
rnacentral:rRNA from 1 species